rnacentral:ncRNA from 1 species
AUUCGAGAAAGGCAAAGUCAUUGAAAGAUGGCGGCGCAAAACUAUAGGGGCUACAGUCUGAUCGACGAUGCCAGCCAGUUGCCGAA